rnacentral:rRNA from 1 species
AACGAACGCUGGCGGCAGGCCUAACACAUGCAAGUCGAACGCUGUAGCAAUACAGAGUGGCUGACGGGUGAGUAACGCGUGGGAACCUUCCCAAUGGUGCGGAAUAGCCCAGGGAAACUUGGGGUAAUACCGCAUAAGCCCUUAGGGGGAAAGAUUUAUCGCCAUUGGAUGGGCCCGCGUCGGAUUAGCUAGUUGGUGAGGUAAUGGCUCACCAAGGCAACGAUCCGUAGCUGGUUUGAGAGAAUGACCAGCCACACUGGGACUGAAACACGGCCCACACUCCUACGGGAGGGAGCAGUGGGGAAUCUUGGACAAUGGGCGCAAGCCUGAUCCAUCCAUGCCGCGUGAGUGACCAAGGCCUUACGGUUGUAAAGCUCUUUUGCCGGGCACCAUAAUGACGGUACCCGGAGAAUAAGUCCCGGCUAACUUCUUGCCAGCAGCCGCGGUAAUACGAAGGGGACUAACGAUGUUCGGAAUUACUGGGCGUCAAGCGCACGUAUGCGGAUUUGUUAGUCAGGGGUGAAAUCCCGGGGCUCAACCUCGGAACUGCCUUUGAUACUGCAAAUCUCGAGUCCGAUAGAGGUGGGUGGAAUUCCUAGUGUAGAGGUGAAAUUCGUAGAUAUUAUGAAGAACACCGGUGGCGAAUGCCGCCCACUGGAUCGGUACUGACGCUGAGGUGCGAAAGCGCGAUGAGCAAACAAGAUUAGAUACCCUGCUAGUCCACGCCGUGUACGAUGGAUGCUAGCCGUCCGCGAGCUUGCUUCGUUGUGCGCAGCUCACGCAUUAUGCAUCCCGCCUGUGAGUACGGCACACGU